UCCUUUACAUGAAAUCCAAAAGCAAUAAUUCUUUCAUAAAAGAUGUAGAUCUUAAAAUUGUUGUUUUAUCUACACCUUCUGAUCUUCAAAAGCUACUGUACAACUCCUCGUAUCCUCAAAAGUGUAAUAAUAUGUCUUAAAUUAAUACCUUAACUUCAACAAUUAUAUCUUCUUCACCCUAAUUCCAAAUCUUCAAAAUUUUAGACAAAAAUUAUAG
rnacentral:lncRNA from 1 species